UCCCCGAUAGCUCAGUCGGUAGAGCGUUCGACUGUUAAUCGAAUGGUCGCAGGUUCGAGUCCUGCUCGGGGAGCCA
rnacentral:tRNA from 2 species